GACGAACGCUGGCGGCGUGCCUAAUACAUGCAAGUCGAGCGCAGGAAGCUGACGGAACUCUUCGGAGGGAAGGCAGUGGAAUGAGCGGUGGACGGGUAAGUAACACGUAAGGAACCUGCCUCAAGGAUUGGGAUAACUCCGAGAAAUCGGAGCUAAUACCGGAUAGUUCAACGGACCGCAUGGUCCGCUGAUGAAAGGCGCUUCGGCGUCACCUUGAGAUGGCCUUGCGGUGCAUUAGCUAGUUGGUGGGGUAACGGCCCACCAAGGCGACGAUGCAUAGCCGACCUGAGAGGGUGAUCGGCCACACUGGGACUGAGACACGGCCCAGACUCCUACGGGAGGCAGCAGUAGGGAAUCUUCCACAAUGGACGAAAGUCUGAUGGAGCAACGCCGCGUGAGUGAUAAAGGUUUUCGGAUCGUAAAACUCUGUUGUAAGGGAAGAACACGUACGAGAGGGAAUGCUCGUACCUUGACGGUACCUUACGAGAAAGCCACGGCUAACUUCGUGCCAGCCGCCGCCGUAAAAC
rnacentral:rRNA from 1 species